GAUCAUGGCUCAGGAUGAACGCUGGCGGCGUGCCUAACACAUGCAAGUCGAGCGAAGCACUUUGCUUAGAUUCUUCGGAUGAAGAGGAUUGUGACUGAGCGGGCGGACGGGUGAGUAACGCGUGGGUAACCUGCCUCAUACAGGGGGGAUAACAGUUAGAAAUGACUGCUAAUACCGCAUAAGACCACAGCACCGCAUGGUGCGGGGGGUAAAAACUCCGGUGGUAUGAGAUGGACCCG
rnacentral:rRNA from 1 species